GUGCCAGCAGCCGCGGUAAUACCGGCAGCCCAAGUGAUGGCCGAUCUUAUUGGGCCUAAAGCGUCCGUAGCUGGCCGGACAAGUCCGUUGGGAAAUCCACCCGCUUAACGGGUGGGCGUCCAGCGGAAACUGUCCGGCUUGGAGCCGGAAGACCUGAGGGGUACGUCCGGGGUAGGAGUGAAAUCCUGUAAUCCUGGACGGACCGCCGGUGGCGAAAGCGCCUCAGGAGAACGGAUCCGACAGUGAGGGACGAAAGCCAGGGUCUCGAACCGGAUUAGAAACCCCGGUAGUCC
rnacentral:rRNA from 1 species